rnacentral:rRNA from 1 species
CGAACGCUGGCGGCGUGCUUAACACAUGCACGUCGAACGGCAAGGCCCUGCUUUUGUGGGGUGCUCGAGUGGCGAACGGGUGAGUAACACGUGAGUAACCUGCCCUUGACUUUGGGAUAACUUCAGGAAACUGGGGCUAAUACCGGAUAGGAGCUCCUGCUGCAUGGUGGGGGUUGGAAAGUUUCGGCGGUUGGGGAUGGACUCGCGGCUUAUCAGCUUGUUGGUGGGGUAGUGGCUUACCAAGGCUUUGACGGGUAGCCGGCCUGAGAGGGUGACCGGCCACAUUGGGACUGAGAUACGGCCCAGACUCCUACGGGAGGCAGCAGUGGGGAAUAUUGCACAAUGGGCGGAAGCCUGAUGCAGCAACGCCGCGUGCGGGAUGACGGCCUUCGGGUUGUAAACCGCUUUCGCCUGUGACGAAGCGUGAGUGACGGUAAUGGGUAAAGAAGCACCGGCUAACUACGUG